AUCUCAUCUUCAUAAACCUAGAGAUUUCUUGUUAAAUCUUUGAGUUUUUGAAGAAUUGAUGUUAUAAUCGGAACUAGGAACUCAAGAUAAGGUUAAAAAUUGAAGAUUGAUGAAAUUUCUUUAAGUUGGUGCUGUUAGAGGAGGCAGAUUCGUUUCUGUUCAAGAUCUAACUUAGGGGCAGAAUGAAGGGUCGAGAUGGCUUAGGAUUCUAAAAGACUAGCGGUUGAAUAUAGUGUUUUUGCUAUGUUGUUAGGUGAAUAUGUUAGUGAUAUGUAAUAUUAUGGUUGUAAUGUUUUUUUUUGGGAGUUCCAUUAGAGCUCUGUACUAUAAAUGGUAGACUUUUGAUCCGUUUUCGGUUGUGACAUGUCUCAUCUUAAGUUUAGUAGGAUGGGG